rnacentral:rRNA from 1 species
AUUGAACGCUGGCGGCAGGCCUAACACAUGCAAGUCGAGCGGCAGCGGGAAAGUAGCUUGCUACUUUUGCCGGCGAGCGGCGGACGGGUGAGUAAUGCCUGGGGAUCUGCCCAGUCGAGGGGGAUAACAGUUGGAAACGACUGCUAAUACCGCAUACGCCCUACGGGGGAAAGGAGGGGACCUUCGGGCCUUUCGCGAUGGGAUGAACCCAGGUGGGAUUAGCUAGUUGGUGGGGUAAUGGCUCACCAAGGCGACGAUCCCUAGCUGGUCUGAGAGGAAGAUCAGCCACACUGGAACUGAGAAACGGUCCAGACUCCUACGGGAGGCAGCAGUGGGGAAUAUUGCACAAUGGGGGAAACCCUGAUGCAGCCAUGCCGCGUGUGUGAAGAAGGCCUUCGGGUUGUAAAGCACUUUCAGCGAGGAGGAAAGGUUGUUGGCUAAUACCCAGCAACUGUGACGUUACUCGCAGAAGAAGCACCGGCUAACUCCGUGCCAGCCGCCGCGGUAA